GAUGAACGCUGGCGGCGUGCCUAAUACAUGCAAGUCGAGCGAACAGACGAGGAGCUUGCUCGUCUGACGUUAGCGGCGGACGGGUGAGUAACACGUGGAUAACCUACCUAUAAGACUGGGAUAACUUCGGGAAACCGGAGCUAAUACCGGACAAUAUUUUGAACCGCAUGGUUCAAUAGUGAAAGACGGUCUUGCUGUCACUUAUAGAUGGAUCCGCGCUGCAUUAGCUAGUUGGUAAGGUAACGGCUUACCAAGGCAACGAUGCGUAGCCGACCUGAGAGGGUGAUCGGCCACACUGGAACUGAGACACGGUCCAGACUCCUACGGGAGGCAGCAGUAGGGAAUCUUCCGCAAUGGGCGAAAGCCUGACGGAGCAACGCCGCGUGAGUGAUGAAGGUCUUCGGAUCGUAAAACUCUGUUAUUAGGGAAGAACAUAUGUGUAAGUAACUGUGCACAUCUUGACGGUACCUAAUCAGAAAGCCACGGCUAACUACGUG
rnacentral:rRNA from 1 species